rnacentral:tRNA from 1 species
AGGUGAAUUCCUUUAGGGUAGGAGAGACUAGCCGAUAACUAGUCUUCAGCUUGUUCGAGUCAAGCUUCAUCUU